GUCAUCCUCAUUGUGUGGUCUACUUGGAAACACCCCAAUGCUUGCAUCGUCGAUGAGGAGCGCCCCUCUACCGCCAGGCUCGUCCAAAACAUCAGGGAUGAAGCGCGCCAAUGGGCUCGUGCAGGAGCCAUAGGGUGA
rnacentral:rRNA from 1 species